AUGGCCAGUCUUUGUAUUCAUAGUGUAGUGAAUUCAGGGGGAAGCCCUGAGCUGAACUCAAACCUGGGUCCAGCAACUGUCAAGCCAACACCAUAUAACUGUUAUGCCAAGAUGUCUGAACUUCUUCACGAGGUCGCUGGGUUUUGGGUUACGGUUGCUACAAUAGCGUAGCUAUUAUAGGCCUUAAGGGCAGUUUAUUUCAAAUGUAGUACCCGGACAGAGAAAAUCCAACAAGUGUUUUAUAGUUUCAUCCUUAGUGUAACUUGCCCUAAAGUGGACACACUCCCAUCAGUUUCUGAGACAAUUGCCCAGACUUUGUAGACUGUUUAAUAAUGCUUAAACCUAACCUUUAUCAAAUUAUCCAUUAAAGAUACCACCUCAAAACCUACGUUCGUCUACAUGUGUUGUUUAAAUUGCAUCUAAUUAUAUUCCCAGUAUUACUUUAUCAAAUAUCUAGAAAUCGAUUAUACACACAUUCAAGUUCAUAUUUUCAUAUAUUCACAGAACGCAUAUAAAACAUAAGAAAUUCUCAGGUACUCACAACAACCAUUCCAUUUGCUUUUUCAAGGACUCUUCAUAGCUACGAAGCAGCUUUCCAAACAUACACUAUAGAUCUGUGUGGAACUAUAGAUCUCUCAAUCACGCACAUAUCGCAGUCCCACAAUGCUAUUCCCAAACAUACCUAAUCAAUUGUUUUUCAACAAUAUUUUAACUUACAGGAAUAUUUUCACAUUUCUAUGUCAUGGUUAGUUCCUAGGAUAAUGUAAGUCAUAGAUUUACAUCUUUCAAUACUUCUAAAAUGGAAUUCAGGUUUAAAACAGGUACAGGUUUUCAACAAUUACAGGUUUAAAAUAAUUACAGGUGCACCUUACUCUAUAUCAAACAUGGUCUUAACUAGUAAACACAGAUUCUAGUUUUCAUCCAGUUCACACAGAUAGCUGGCUCGGCCCUCUUCACACAGGAAUACACUCGGAGCCUAUGAGGUGGGUCCAUCUGCUCCGUUCCCGAAGUGUGGUCUCCUGAGAUUCCAAGUUUGAAGGAUCUCCCGUGUACCAUUUACCCAGGUCGUCAGGAGCGUCACCAAGUGAAGAUUCACAUCCCCAAAUGUGGUUCAUUUAUUUAAUAUCAAAUGAGGCAAACUUAUCACACAAGUCAUUGUUAUUCUUAAACUAAAACUUUAUUCACUUAUUAAUAAGGGUCUCCUGGUCAAUACAACGCACACAUAUAAAGUGAAUCAAUUGAGUGCUCUAUGAUAAUGAUGGCUGGUCGACAAAUCACCCCCAGAUUAUUUGUCGAGAGCCACGAGACAAAAGUACAAAGGUCUUUUAUAGCCAAGAUACACCCCUUUCAACCUACAUGACCAACAAUAGACGUAUAGAACGGGUCACAAGGUUAAGAUUUGUAUGAAAGAUACUUAUAAUUCACAGGAGACAGUAUCUGCUGUAAAAACAGUACUCUUCGUGUAGAGACCAGGGUCUGGCCCUGUGGUCAUCUCGCCCUGGUACCAUAUAGAACAGAAACAUUAACUCAUGCUCUGGAAUGCGGUCACUUUAGGUUUUAUCACCCAUUACAUUGUAAAGCCCCUGUCAGUGUUAUCCCCCAGAGGACCAUCCUCAGUAGAAUACACAGACGCAAUAGUUAUAAGAACACUAUUAUGUUGCAUAAAACUACUAUUUGAUCCAAUAAAAGCAUUAUAACAUAAUGUUGCAGUUUUGCUCUCAGUGUUCACUGAAAGUUGACUAGUAACAACAACUGGGACAUAAAAUACACACCAUGAGACCCACUAAAUCUGCCCAAGAAGAGGGAAACAAUAACUCACACCAAACUUACAGACAGGAAUGUGUUGACAUUCAACAUCUAUCAAGAUAACUGGAGCACUGGGCCAGACACUCUUAAAUAGAACCUGGACCAGCUCAGGUGAAACACCUUCCCACUAACGAGAUGGACAAGCCAGCACAGGUGUAACACAUACUGACUAUGUGCUAACGAGCUAUACCCGCUAAAGUCCAACAUCAAAACAUAAAUGGAAAAACCAAAGACUGUAACACAUUAAGUAAGAGAAUGCGCACCACCAACAGAAAACAACUUCCAUUUCACAUUAUAAUCAACUACAAUGCUUCACCUUCACCAAUAUAAACAUGGUGUCUACUGGCAGUCAACAAUUACAAACAACAAAAAGUGUAUUUUUCCCUUCCUAAAACUCACUUGCUUCUUGAACUCUCGUCCCCUUGGAACGAGCCCAAACAAAACUCAUCUCUAAUAUGGAAAUUCAAAAUAAUUUGUCAUCCAUGGAACGCACUGGCUAAACACAAAUAUUUUUGACUGCCCAACCUUGAGACAAUCAGAAACCAAGUUGUCCUCACCAUGGACACAAGCAGCAAUAAAUCACUGAUAUCGAUUAGGGGGGAAAUUAGGUUGUACUUGCUGUUGAAACUAAAAAAACACAUGGAAAUGGGAGAUAUAUUUUAGCUCACUGGUUAGAAGACAACCUGCAGAAGACAGUCAGCUACAUUUUGAGUUUAUG
rnacentral:lncRNA from 13 species